rnacentral:rRNA from 1 species
UACAGAGGGUGCAAGCGUUGUUCGGAAUCACUGGGCUUAAAGGGUGCGUAGGCGGCGCAGAAAGUUGGGUGUGAAAUCCCUCGGCUUAACCGAGGAAUUGCGCCCAAAACUACUGUGCUCGAGGGAGGUAGAGGUGAGCGGAACUUAGGGUGGAGCGGUGAAAUGCGCAGAUAUCAGGAGGAACACCAAUAGCGAAGGCAGCUCGCUGGGACGUUACUGACACUGAGGCGCGAAAGCGUGGGGAGCGAACAGG